UACGAAGGGGGCUAGCGUUGCUCGGAAUCACUGGGCGUAAAGCGCACGUAGGCGGCUUCUUAAGUCAGGGGUGAAAUCCUGGAGCUCAACUCCAGAACUGCCUUUGAUACUGGCGAUCUCGAGUCCGGGAGAGGUGAGUGGAACUGCGAGUGUAGAGGUGAAAUUCGUAGAUAUUCGCAAGAACACCAGUGGCGAAGGCGGCUCACUGGCCCGGUACUGACGCUGAGGUGCGAAAGCGUGGGGAGCAAACAGGG
rnacentral:rRNA from 1 species